UACGUAGGGGGCAAGCGUUGUCCGGAUUCAUUGGGCGUAAAGAGCGUGUAGGCGGCCAGGUAGGUCGGUUGUGAAAACUGGAGGCUCAACCUUCAGAGGUCGACCGAAACCAUCUGGCUAGAGUCCGGGAGAGGAGAGUGGAAUUCCUGGUGUAGCGGUGAAAUGCGCAGAUAUCAGGAAGAACACCCGUGGCGAAAGCGGCUCUCUGGACCGGUACUGACGCUGAGACGCGAAAGCGUGGGGAGCGAACAGG
rnacentral:rRNA from 1 species